rnacentral:lncRNA from 1 species
CUUACUAAGGGACGUAACAGGCCCACUCAAAAACCAUAAUUCCAACCAACCAAAAGCAUGGGGAACCAGCGCCCUGCUACGGUCGACCGUAGCAGGGCAUACAGAGGGAGAUUUCAAAAAUUAAAAUCUUUUUCAAAUUCAAAUCUCCAUGGGACCCCACACACCUCCAAUUACACCAAUAAUCAUCCAUUAAUUCCCUUUAUAUACACCAAAUUUGAU